CCUACGAGAGUCAGCAGUAGGGAAUAUUGCUCCAUGGGGGAAACCCUGAAGCAGCCACGCCGCGUGGAGGAUGAAGGUUUUCGGAUUGUAAACUCCUUUUGUUAGAGACUAUAAUGACGGUAUCUAACGAAUACGCCCCGGCUAACUCCGUGCCAGCAGCCGCGGUAAUACGGAGGGUGCAAGCGUUACUCGGAAUCACUGGUCGUAAAGAGCGCGUAGGCGGGAUAGCAAGUCAGAUGUGAAAUCCUAUGGAUUAACCAUAGAACUGCAUUUGAAACUGUUAUUCUAGAGUAUGGGAGAGGUAGGUGGAAUUCUUGGUGUAGGGGUAAAAUCCGUAGAGAUCAAGAGGAAUACUCAUUGCGAAGGCGACCUGCUAGAACAUAACUGACGCUGAUGCGCGAAAGCGUGGGGAGCAAACAGGAUUAGAUACCCCUGUAGUC
rnacentral:rRNA from 1 species